AUGGCCUGGCCUCCUGUCCUUCUCUUCCUGCUAACUCAGUACCCAGGCUCCUGGGCGCAGACUGGACUGACUCAGGAAGUCUCAGUGUCAGGGUCUGUGGGACAGACAGUCACCCUCUCCUGCACUGGAAACAACAACAAUGUCGGUUCCUAUAGUACAGGCUGGUACCAGCAGAUUCCUGGUGCUGGUGCUGCCCCCAAAACUGUGAUGGUUGGAAGUACUCGACCUACAGGGAUCCCAGCUCGGUUCACUGGUUCGAAAUCUGGAAACAAGGCCACUCUGACCAUCUCGGGUGUGCAGCCUGAGGAUGAGGCUGAUUAUUAUUGUUCUGCAUGGGACAAAAGUAUCAGCAAUGUCACAGUGCUUCAGACUCAAGGAGAAGUGCUCAGCUCUGAACUUGCUCCUUACCAGGAAGAUGUAAAUACCCAGUGUAAUGUCUCACCAUUAAUCAUCCCUGGCACCAUUACACCUGCAAUUAGCCAAACUGGAGUUUUAGCCUAG